GCCCGGGGAGCGCGGCG
rnacentral:miRNA from 1 species